CGCGACCGUAGGUUUGGGGGUCGAAAUUGUCGAAUGAUUGUAGCGUGCCGCAGGAUGCGCAUAUCAGGUUGCCGGAUAUGUGAUCGCGGGUUAAAGAUUUAGACUGGCAGCUUGUGCAGGACAUUUCUGACGGGCUUGCAGGUCGUCACUCUGUGAGACAGAUCAACACUUCUGAGGAGGCAAUUGGUUUCCGGUAGGUUAACAGCGAAGUCGUUUAUUUUUUCUUUGACUAUGUACUUGCUAGUUGCUAGUUGAUGAUUAAGAAGAUCUCCAAUGACAUAUGAGGUUUCUAACAGAGUCUUGUGCCCCUUCUUUAGGUGAUUUUGUGGUUACAAAUAGAUUUCCGAUAGCUAGUGUGGACAUUUGACAACCUUUGUGACAACUGAGAACCAAAUGUCAAUGAUAUUUCAAUAGGGUUCGACAGAAUUUAAAGUAUCAAAAUUACAUUGUAGAUAUUAAUGUAGUAGAAGUAUAAACAAAAUAUAUCUGAAUCAUUUACGAAAUUUAGUGAUGAGGGCAAAGUAUUCAAACAAAGUUGAAAACCUUCACUUUGUGUAUUUGAAAAUCUUUUCUGAUACCAUUAUUCUCUUUUAUCCUUGUAACAGCAAAUCACUAGGUACAUAAAUUUCCAGUAAGAAAAGAAAUACUAUGAUUUGAGAGCCAUAAUGACCAAACAUUG